CAGAAAUAAAUUUCAGAGCUUCCAAGACCACAAACUUAAAACAAGUAAAGAAGACAGUAAAAUUCUUAAAAAGGCUCGGAAAGAUGGAUUUUUGCAUGAGACGCUUCUGGACAGGAGAGCCAAAUUGAAAGCCGACAGAUACUGCAAAUGACAGGGAUUUUUGUUUCUGCCUUAUCUUUUUGUGUUUUGUUCUGAAUAAAAUACUCAGAGGAAAUGCUUUUACAGA